rnacentral:rRNA from 1 species
AACGAACGCUGGCGGCAGGCCUAACACAUGCAAGUCGAACGCCCCGCAAGGGGAGUGGCAGACGGGUGAGUAACGCGUGGGAACCUUCCCUAUAGUACGGAAGCUAUCAGGGAAACUGGGAGCAACGCCGUAUAGGCCCGAAAGGGGAAAGAUCUAUCGCUAUAGGGUGGGCCCGCGUUGGAUUAGCGAGUUGGGGAGGUAAUGGCUCACCAAGGCGACGAGCCAUAGCUGGUCUGGGAGCAUGACCCGCCACCCUGGGACUGAGACCCGGCCCAGACUCCUACGGGAGGAAGCAGUGGGGAAGAUGGGGCAAUGGGCGAAAGCCUGACCCAGCCAUGCCGCGUGAGUGACGAAGGCCUUAGGGUUGUAAAGCGCGUUUGGCGGGGACGAUAAUGACGGUACCCGCAGAAUAAGCCCCGGCUAACUUCGUGCCAGCAGCCGCCGUAAAAC